GUAUUGAUUGCGUGUGACCGCAAAAAUAACAUUCUACACUGUAUCAAGUUUUGUGUGAAAACGUGAGCACCCCCCCCUCCGAGGAAGGGAGGACACACGCGGUGAUGCACAAAGGGGUAAGAUGGAUAUUUGUAUGUGAGAGGACUCGGGCGUGCACGACAAAAAAAAAAGCCAGCGACAACCCUCGUACCCCCAUUGUACGAUAAUGAUCCUUCCGCAGGUUCACCUACGGAAA
rnacentral:misc_RNA from 1 species